rnacentral:tRNA from 1 species
GGAAGGAUCGCAUAGUGGUCGAGUGCGCUCGCUUGGAAAGCGAGUAGGCCCACAAGCCUCCGGGGUUCGAAUCCCCGUCCUUCCGC